rnacentral:rRNA from 1 species
AUUGAACGCUGGCGGCAUGCCUUACACAUGCAAGUCGAACGGUAACAGGUCUUCGGAUGCUGACGAGUGGCGAACGGGUGAGUAAUACAUCGGAACGUGCCUAGUAGUGGGGGAUAACUACUCGAAAGAGUGGCUAAUACCGCAUGAGAUCUACGGAUGAAAGCAGGGGAUCGCAAGACCUUGUGCUACUAGAGCGGCCGAUGGCAGAUUAGGUAGUUGGUGGGAUAAAAGCUUACCAAGCCGACGAUCUGUAGCUGGUCUGAGAGGACGAUCAGCCACACUGGGACUGAGACACGGCCCAGACUCCUACGGGUGGCAGCAGUGGGGAAUUUUGGACAAUGGGCGAAAGCCUGAUCCAGCAAUGCCGCGUGCAGGAUGAAGGCCUUCGGGUUGUAAACUGCUUUUGUACGGAACGAAAAGCCCCGGGUUAAUACCCUGGGGUCAUGAUGGUACCGUAAGAAUAAGCACCGGCUAACUACGUGCCAGCAGCCGCCGUAA